rnacentral:rRNA from 1 species
AUGGAUGUGGAGAAGAAAGGAGGUAGAAACUACCUUACCUAGAUGGAUGAAAUGGACGAGGCAAUGUUGAAUGUGUUCACGGAGCAUUACAAUAGAGUGGACCAUGCUCAAAAUGGGUGGAAACCACAUUUUAUAACAGUUGUCAAUAAUGUUCGAGCCAAGUGCAAUGUGGAUAUCACAAAGGAGAAUGUCAUAUCAAGGUGCAAGACUAUUGAUAGACACUAUGUCAAUGUCAGCAAGAUGUUGUCAGUGAGUGGUUUUGGGUAGGAUUGGAUCCAUAACAAGCUUAUGGUUGAUAGUGGGGAUGUGUGGAGCAACUAUGUCAAGGCAAACAAAGAUGUCGCUUGGUAUAGGCACACGGUCAUAAAGUUUUGGGACUAAAUCAGCCUUGUCUUCUUGAAGGAUCAUGCCACCGGAACCGGAGCCAGAACUAGUGUUGAAAGUGCUACAGAAAUGGCUAUGGAGAAUGUGAACAAUGUCAACAUCGAGUUUGCCACGACAUUUUCUACUCAAACCGGUGACGAACAAAAGAAGAAAAUAUACCGAUCAGAUGACUCAGUUGCAUCUAUGCUUGGUAAACUGGAUAAUUUUACAAGUUCCUACAUCGAUAUUGCUCAAGUUGUUCCUCGAGAUAAACCCUCCUCUCCUGAAGAAAUACUUGAUGCUCUCAAAGCAAUUGCUGGACUGGAUGAUGAUGACUUGGCAACUUAUGACACCCUCAUAGCAGAUGACUGCAAGUUCAAGGCUCUUAUGGCUUUGCCUGAAAGAAGAAAUGGAUCCUCAAACAAAUCAGCCAAUGAAGCUAACUCAAAUAGAUUUCUUACCUUCAUGUAUCUCCUUGAGUAUGUUUCAGUUUGA